AUCCAGUUGAUGAGUCCGAAAUAAGACGAAAUGUGCAUCCUGGAU
rfam:Trichobilharzia regenti genome assembly, scaffold: TRE_scaffold0079143